rnacentral:piRNA from 1 species
AAAAUAAGGGAAGAAAAUCAGUGA